AUUGAACGCUGGCGGCAGGCCUAACACAUGCAAGUCUAACGCGUGGCGGACGGGUGAGUAAUGUCUGGGAAACUGCCUGCUGGAGGGGGAUAACUACGGGAAACGGUAGCUAAUACCGCAUACCAUCGGAUGUGCCCAGAUGGGAUUAGGUAGUAGGUGGGGUAAUGGCUCACCGAGGCGACGAUCCCUAGCUGGUCUGAGAGGAUGACCAGCCACCCUGGAACUGAGACACGGUCCGGACUCCUACGGUAGGCAGCAGGGGGGAAUAUUGCGCAAUGGGCGCAAGCCUGAUGCAGCCAUGCCGCGUGUAUGAAGAAGGCCUUCGGGUUGUAAAGUACUUUCAGCGAGGAGGCGUUACGCGCAGAAGAAGCACCGGCUAACUCCGUGCCAGCAGCCGCGGUAAUUC
rnacentral:rRNA from 1 species